AGAGCGAACGCUGGCGGCAGGCCUAAUACAUGCAAGUCGAACGAACCCUUCGGGGUUAGUGGCGGACGGGUGAGUAACACGUGGGAACGUGCCUUUUGGUUCGGAACAACUCAGGGAAACUUGAGCUAAUACCGAAUGUGCCCUUCGGGGGAAAGAUUUAUCGCCAUUAGAGCGGCCCGCGUCUGAUUAGCUAGUUGGUGGGGUAAAGGCCCACCAAGGCUACGAUCAGUAGCUGGUCUGAGAGGAUGAUCAGCCACACUGGGACUGAGACACGGCCCAGACUCCUACGGGAGGCAGCAGUAGGGAAUCUUGCGCAAUGGGCGAAAGCCUGACGCAGCCAUGCCGCGUGAAUGAUGAAGGUCUUAGGAUUGUAAAAUUCUUUCAGCGGGGACGAUAAUGACGGUACCCGUAGAAGAAGCCCGGCUAACUUCGUGCCAGCAGCCGC
rnacentral:rRNA from 1 species